rnacentral:rRNA from 1 species
GACGGAGGAUGCAAGUGUUAUCCGGAAUCACUGGGCGUAAAGCGUCUGUAGGUGGUUUAAAAAGUCUAUUGUUAAAAAUUGAAGCUUAACUUCAAAGAUGCAAUGGAAACUUUUAAACUUGAGUAUGGUAGGGUAGAGGGAAUUUCCAGUGGAGCGGUGAAAUGCGUAGAUAUUGGAAAGACCACCAAUGGCGAAGGCACUCUACUGGGCCAUUACUGACACUGAGAGACGAAAGCUAGGGGAGCAAAUGGG